rnacentral:rRNA from 1 species
CCUACGGGCGGCAGCAGUGAGGAAUAUUGGUCAAUGGGCGGAAGCCUGAACCAGCCAAGUCGCGUGAGGGAUUAAGGCCCUGCGGGUCGUAAACCUCUUUUGCCGGGGAGCAGAGGUCCGGACGUGUCCGGGACGGGAGAGUACCCGGAGAAAAAGCAUCGGCUAAAUCCGUGCCAGCAGCCGCGGUAAUACGGGGGAUGCGAGCGUGAUCGGGAUUUGUUGGGUUUAAAGGGUGCGUAGGCGGGCAUUAAGGCCGGCGGUAAAAUGUCGGGGCUCAACCCCGGCCUGCCGUCGGAACUGGGUGCCUUGAGUGGACGAGAGGUAUGCGGAAUGCGUGGUGUAGCGGUGAAAUGCAUAGAUAUCACGCAGAACCCCGAUUGCGAAGGCAGCAUACCGGCGCCCUACUGACGCUGAGGCACGAAAGUGCGGGUAUCGAACAGGAUUAGAUACCCUUGUAGUC